ACGGAGGCAGCAGCUAAGAAUAUUCCGCAAUGGGGGUAACCCUGACGGAGCGACGCCGCGUGGACGAUGAAGGCCGGAAGGUUGUAAAGUCCUUUUAUGGCAGAGGAAUAAGCGGGGGAGUGGAAAGCCUCCGUGAUGACUGUAGGCCAUGAAUAAGCACCGGCUAAUUACGUGCCAGCAGCCGCGGUAACACGUAAGGUGCGAGCGUUGUUCGGAAUCAUUGGGCGUAAAGGGCAUGUAGGCGGUCUGUCAAGCCCGGCGUGAAAGCCAGGGGCUUAACCCCUGAACUGCGCUUGGAACUGGCGGACUGGAGUCGCUGAGGGGGAACCGGAAUUCCUGGUGUAGGGGUGAAAUCUGUAGAUAUCUGGAAGAAUACCAAUGGCGAAGGCAGGUUACCGGCAGAUGACUGACGCUGAGGUGCGAAGGUGCGGGGAGCAAACAGGAUUAGAUACCCUGGUA
rnacentral:rRNA from 1 species